rnacentral:lncRNA from 1 species
CGGCGUUCUCCCCUCCUCUGUGUCACGGGGGUGGUGAGAAUGCGUGUGCACUUGCUGGGAAGGCUUGAGAAGGAGGAGCUGCGGCAGACGGGUGUGCACAGAGUGUAAGCGACAGAACCUCCAGGAGAGUGAGCCGGGGCGCCCUUCCUCCCGAGGAGGGGAGAAGCCUGUUUCCGGUGAGUCUGACCUGCCCAGACUGGACAUCACUGAAGAAGACGGAGAGCUGCACACAGGGUCUGAGACCUGCCUGGGAGGCUGUGCCGGCACCAGUGUGGGGAACGUAGGCCGUCCGCUCGCGCUCUGUCCUGCUCUGCCCUGGGCCUCCUGGCCCCGUGCAGCCCCGUGCCCUCUCCUGCUCCCACUCGUGCCUCCGUCUCCACCACACCUUUAGCUCAUUUCCCCAGCUUCCACCCUCCAGCCCUGCCCAGGACGCCUUCCCGCUCGCCCCUCGGCAGGGCAUUUGCACAGACAAGUCUCCACGGCUGCCCAAGCCCUGGCCGCCCCCAGGCUCUCGUGGACCCUGCCCUGAGCCUGCGCCCGGGCAGCCCUCCCACCCAAAUGGUCCAGGACCUCGUGGCGGCUCCAGAGGAACAGGCUGAGGAGAGGGUCAGGCCCUGCGUCUUUCUCCGUCUUGUUUCACACCGACUUCCGGGACUCUGAGACCAAAGGUCUGUGCCAAGCAGAGCCGUCCAGGGAGCCCAGACGAGGGGAUUGAGGAGGCGAGAGAGGGCGUCACGGUGAGAGAGACACACUCCCGUUUUCCUGGGAACUGCUCAGUACGGUGAGGGCAAGUCUGAUGUUGAGUGGAGCCCCCCGCACUCCCUGCAGGACGAGAGCAGGGACUUGGCAGGAAGUGAGCUGAGGCGAGAUUUCCACAGGACUGACUUGCCCCAGAUCAGUUCCUUCUCCCCGAUCAACGCGUCGUUGACGACUCAGCACCCCACCCCAUCCUUCCUGAGAGCAUCUCCUUUCCCACCAUCAUCAUUUAUACUGUGAUUUUGGCUUGAUCCGUGCCGGCAACAGAGGAGAUUUACAGGUUUGAUUUCAACGCGAGGGGCAGAAGCAAGCAGGGGUCUGUGCGGCUUCCUCAGACCCUUCUAACGGGAAGGAAACCCAUCAGGGAUUUUGAAAUAGAACAGCAGUUUCCUUUUCCCUGUGGGAUCUGCAUUAGCAAGUCUGCAAAUGGAAAAUGCAUUCGGAACCGCCAGCGUCCCUUACGGCCCUCAGUGGGGAAGCGGGUGGUGAUCCUGCUGCUAUUUUAAAACUUGUCUCGGGGUCAGGAGCAGCUGAAAUCGUUUGGGGCUUAAUUUUGCAUGAGGAUGUAGCAAAGCGUAAGAGGAGGAGAGAAAGAGAAAAUGCUAGUGACGGAGAAGGGGCCCCGAGAGGGAACCGGAGCCAAGGCUGAGCUCAGAGGGGCAUGGACCACGGAUGUGAGGGGAACAGGGCUGAAGGAUGAAGCCGGGCAGAGGCGGCCGGACGGGAGCGGGUGUGCGUGUGGACACAGCCAGCUCUCAGGCUCUGGGGUGUGCUGUCCCAAGAGAGAGCUGCCGGACAGGCUGGGAGGGGAAGCUGCCUGGACGCCUGACCGAACAGAGGCCGAGGGAGCGUGAGGAACCUCAGGCCACAAUUACAGCCUCUGGGCCCAGCUCGGAAGUGGCCUCGAAGAGGGGCUCCUCUGCUGGGCGCCAGCUGCCCCGAGCGUGACCUUAAGGCCUCGUGGCUUUGCACACAGCCAGGCGCUGCCCACCCGUCCCUUCCCUCCUCAUGGUGUGGAGGGGGUCCAGACAGCGCUGCUCUCCCCGCAGCUCAGAUGAGGAGCCGAAGGAGUGAGACAGAAAGCAUGAAACCAUCACACACAGAAGGGGCCACAGAGCGACGGGUCGGGUGCCCCUCAGCCGGGAGCUUCUGUUCUGCUGUGGGAGGAGCCUGAGCUCCCGAGCGAUGGCCAAGCCCCAGCUCCGUCCGUCUGAAUCCCAGCUUGUCCCUCGGAGUCGGACCUGGAUGGAAGGGUCAGAAUGCACGGCCUGCGGGGGCCACGGGCAGGCAGCCGUGAGUCCACCCCACCCCCUGUUUCUUUCUGUCUUCUGUACCCCUGAGAACUUUCCGUUCAGUUCGCACGGUGUCUCCAGAUCCCUGGGGUUUCUGAGUGAGCUGAGCAUGGCCAGGCGCUGGGUCAGCCCCGGGGCUCUGCUGCCCCAGAUGCCAAGUCAUCGCUGCUCAGUCCCGCCCUUGACGUCCCUUCUUGUGGCUUCUCACUCUCAUCCCCCUCUGCCCCUGCAGAUGGAAGUCCAGCCACAGACCUGCCCCAGCAGGAGCCGGGGUUGGGGCGUCUGGGGCAGAGGCCUGAAGGGCAGAAGCUCGCCAGGGUGGGAGGGUUGGUCGUCCACCAGCAAUGGUGGGCUGCCCCUGCCCGAGGGGGGCGUGUCUGUCUGUGUCUGUGGGUGUCUCUGUAUCUCUCUGUCUGUCUUGUCUCUGUGCAUGUCUGUGUGCCUCCGUGUCCGUGUGUCUGUCUCUUUGUGUCUACCAGCUCACAGGACGGUCAGAAGCCACAGCCCACGCCCUUCUCCAUCUGGCCUUCUGUCGGGGCCACGGGGAGGUCAGUGUCCUGGAAAACGAGCCCCAUGGAAGCCCUGACUCACAGCCACUUCCUCCUGCCCCCCGCCCGCCCCCACGGCUGGGCACACGGGCGCCCACAGCCCAGGCCCACAGCCCUGACUCACCACCACGCGGCUCUAACUGGACGGCUUCCUGGGAAGGGCAGCUGAGGACACGGAGGCACCGCGAGGAGGCGGCCCCUCUGGCCCCGCGUGCAGCUGUGGGGCCGGCGGCUCUUGCUCUCCGGGCCAGCGCUGGCCGGACCCCGGGAAGCCCGUCCUGCCCGACGCCCAGACGGGGCGCGUGAGGCUGGGGGGUGGGUCUCGCGCGUCCCUGACAGACCGUGUUUCUCUGCUGAGACGUGCCCUUCAUGCCUCCCGCCAGCUUCCUCUUGGUGUCUUUUUCCCGUUCUGAUUCGUAGAGACUUUCACACACCCCCAACGCUGACCCUCUGGCAGUUACGUCCCUAGUGAGCAGCUUCUCAUUUUACUUCUCUCUCACUUUCUUUAAGGUGAUUGUGACUAACAGAUUUUUAAAGUACUCAGACUCAUCAGGCUCUCGUUUUGUAGCGUUUUAAAGAGAUCCCCACCCCAAGGUCACAAACACCCACCGACACUUCCCAGGCAGUGUCUGUGAGAACAGCUGUGCGUUCAAGCCCGGGGUCCAGCUGCAGCUGACGCGCCUGCUGGGAGCCAGGAUCCAAUUUCCUUCCCACGAGGAAACCGUCUCCACACCUGGCGGCUGCUCUGCUCUUGCAGAAGGAAAACCCCACAGGAGGACAUGCCGUCGGAUCCCACCACGUCCUGGAGAAGGAUGGAUGGCUCCCAGCCAGUUGUCCUCCUGGGCGGGGCCGCUUGUGGGACGUGUGCCGUCAUCCAGAGUGGACUCAGCACAGUGCUGACUGCAGCCACUGAGCUGAAGGACAGACACGAGGGCCCGGCCCCCGGCCCUGAGUGGGCUGUUUCCACCACAGCUAAACGCCACGGACCCCGCUCAGGGGUUUCCUGUUGCCUUUCACUGAGAAGAGCCCAGGCGGGUCUCCGGCCACCGCACAGGACCUUCCAACCGUCAAAGCUGGUGUGACGAGGCCGGAGAGGAGGACACUGGUGGACGCCCCUAAUCAGCUCAGCAAGGAAACAGCCCGGAUCUUUGGGAUCUGAAAGCACCGAGGGCUCGCCUCGGCUGAGUGUGGGCCCCUGAAGACCUGGCACAAGUGUGACGUGAUCUGCUGACAGCCCAGGAAACCAGAAAGCAAACGGGGCUGCAGCUUUGUGCUUCUUUGGACUCAGCUGUCUGGACAGGCUGUACCCUCGCGGCCGAGAGAAGAUGUCUUCACGACGGGUUGGACGCGAGCUCAGCACCCGGGUCUGGGAAUCUCAUCUCCGGAGGAGCGGACUCUCUGGAACGAACUUCGUGCGGCUGCCUCUCCCUCUGCUGUUUCACGAACGCGUCCUCAGUUCCUCGUUACUCUCUGGAGUCCCCGGUCUACUCGUAGCAUCUGCCUCUCCUGGAACUCUGCUUUCUCUGACGCCCUGAGCCUGUUUCUUCAUGUCCACUGACUGCCGCAUUUCAGUCAACCGAGGAGAUGCUGGAAAGGAACACGCCCACACCGUCCGCCGUCUUGAACUGCAGACUUGACGCUCAACCAGCCGCCACUGAUCACAUUUGCAUCACAACCCAAUGAUCCCAACCACCGGCCUGGACCCGUUUCCUUAGAGCCAGAAAGACAGAUGCCAACACCGUGCCAGCCACCUCGGGCCAGGGCCCUCUGGGUGAUUUAAUACUGAUGUUCACGACUUGUGUUCUGGGGUCUCUGCACUGAGCACAGACUGUGUUUGAAGUUGAAAGGAAGGCAGGCAAAUAAGAAAAGAAAGAAAGAGAGAAAGAGAGAGGGAGGUGGUGGGGGAGGAAUUGAGGCCUCCUCACCUCACACCCGCGAGCGUGGCCACAAUGAGAAACACUCACAGAAAACACGCGUCAGUGAGGACGCAGAGAAGCUGGGACUUGUGCACUGCUGCUGGGAUGCUAACGAUGCAGCCGCCGUGGAGCACACUCUGGCACGUCCUCAAGGCUUAUCGACAGGCUGUCAUGUGAUGCGGCCGCCCCACUGUGCACUGAAGGAACCGAGGCCGGGUCUUGCAGAGGUGUCUGCACACCCGUGUUCACAGCAGCGUGAUUCACAAGAGCCCCAGGGUCCAUCAGCGAAUGAAGGGAUAAGUGGAACGCGGCCCAUCCACAGGGGAGCAUCAUUCAGCCCCAGAAAGGAAGGACGCCUGUUACAACACGGACAGAGCUUGCGGGCAUCGUGCUGAGGGAAAUCAGCCACAAAAGGGCAGGCACUGUGUGAUCCCACUCACGUGAGGCCCCUGGAGUUGACAGAUUCAUAGAGACAGAAAGUAGACGGUGGGGCCAGGGGCUGUGGGGGGGGAGUCAGUGUUUAAUGGGGACCGAGUCUCAGUUUGGGAAGAUGAGAAAGUCCUGGAGACAGAUGGUGUGACGGCUGCACAACAUUGUGAAUGUGCUCAAUGCCCCUAAACAGUGCACUAAAAAAUGGCUAACUAAUAAAUUUUAUGUUGUGUUUUUUACCACAGUUUUAAAAAUAAAAACUGUGGUAAGUUAAAAAAAAAAAAAAAGCUGCUACAAAAUGAUACAUAAAGCUUGAAAACCAAUCUUUAUAUUACGCAUGUACCUUAAUGGUGUCAAACGUGCCUCCUCUGUAAAGACACCACAUUUGGGACGUGGGCAAAGGGAGGUCAGUGAAGAAGGCUCCAGGGACGAGGGUGUCAGCUGUGCCCACAGUGCCCAGUGCCCCGUGCUGUGUCCUCUCCACCCACCCGUCCUGGGCCAUCAGCUCAGAAGCAGCCCUCACCCCACGCUGGGGCCCAGGGGGAGCAGGAAGGAGGGCACAGGGCCCGGGCUCAGCUGAGGGCGUCACUCGACCGUGUCUGUGCCAGCUUGAGGCAGAGGCCCCGUCAAGGUGUGGGCAGAGAUGCCUGUCUCCCAAACGGCGCCCCCAACUCCUUCCAGAGCUCGGAGCUCAGACGAACCUGGAGGGUGUGGGCAACGCACUUAUGCGGGGGGAGGCUCGGACGCGUUCUGGGGUGAAACCCAGCGAAAAUGCUCCCCUUGUUCUCCACGCCGUCCCGGCCUGACAGACGGGCUCGCUGUCACGGCCUCCUGGUUCCAGGAACUCGGGCAAAUUCUCCCUCUGGUUCCCCAUUCGUGAGGCGGGAGGACCCCGGGGGGUCCCACUGCCUCCUGUAGUAGAAAGAUGAACACAGGCACUGGACUCGCGCCAUCAACGAGACCUGCAGCGUUGACACGGUCAGACUCCAGUUGGCUCUGUCUUCAGUUCCGCCAGCCCGCGAGGUUGGAACAAUGAAUCCGAGAGGCCGCGAGUGGAGCCGAAAGGACGGGGGCCCACCAUAAUGGGCACAGACAUCUUUCCGGAUUCUUCACAAGAGGGAAUGGCAGGGCCUGAGCCCCCCACUGCUGGGAGAGGCUGACAGGCCAUACACCCCUGAGAUGACGGCUCCCGCCAGGCAUUGAGGACCGAGGCUCCAGCAGGGCUCCUGGCUGUGCAUCACAGGUGAGCAGCGAGUGUGCUGGGAACCUUCCAGCGGGAGACGGCCCUUCACGGCUCAGCACCCCUCAGCCCUGUGCAGAAAGUACCCGAACACGUGGGCAUCAGGCAUCUGCGGUUCUCACUGCCCCUCCUGCCUCAGGGGCAGCAGAAGGAGAGACUCACACGCGUGGGGCAGCCCCAAGCCUGGCAGCCGUCCCGCAGUCUGCGCCAAACAGGCGGGGCCUUUUCCAAGACGGGAUGAAGAGCUGGGAGCUGCCCCUCGCGGGCCCGUCCCUCAUCUGCUCAGUGGAAUUCUGCCCCCUGCUCUCCAGGUCAACUUGCCCGGUGCUCUCUCCCCACGUCCAGGUCGGCUGGCUGACCAGCCUUCACCCCCUGCCCUGAGGGGCCUGGGGGCUGGUGGCUGCCCAGCUUUGGUUCACCGCCUGCUGUCUCUGUGCUCAUUCAUCUUCCAGGCCCUGCACCAUGGGUGGAACUACGAGGCCGUCUGGCCCUGGAGCUCUCACAGGGUGGCUAGGGAUGUGGACCAGGAGCAGCCCAAGGCAGCCCAGAUGGGUGCCAGGCUCUGGUACUGGGAGGAGAGACUCCAAUACUGGAGGCAUCGGGAGGACUUCCUGGAGGAGGCGGCUUGCGAAGGCCGAGUUAGGGUGAGGAGGAAGACGAGCCUGCUCCCGGACACACACGACGAAGAGCCAUGACCAUGACCAGGCUUGUGUAGCAGACAACCGGGCGAGAGAGCUGGCCUGCCCUCUAGGGACCAUCCUGGGCCUCUCCAAGCCUCGGCCAUCUCGUCUGUGAGGUGGGGACACCCGUACACCUCAUGGCAAUGCUGGGGGCAAAGCCCACAAGAGCCCCAGGGCCCUGCGGUCCCUGAGGACUCGCGCCACAACGGUCGCCCGUAAAUGGCAGAUGGUGGCUCUGGGCCGGCUCCAGGGAUGGCCUGUGCUUGCAGUGAGAGUGGACAUUGCAAUGGGCUCCUCUGCUCAUCAGAAUCCCAAAGUCCUCAGUGGUAGCUGACCCCACACCAUCCCACGCGCCCCAAUAAUAAGCUCUCCCUAAACUUCAGCGGGAGCCAUCUCUGUGCCGCAGCUUCUCCAAGACACCACGGACCGGGCAGCUCACACACGGACACUCGCUUCUCUCCAUCCUGAGGCUGGACGUCCAGGAUCACGGUGCCAGCAGGCCCCGUUCUGGUGAGGCCUGCGUCCUGGGCAGCUUAGCAGGGCCGCGGUCCAGAAGGGGCGCUGGUGAGCUGAGCAGAGGUGCAGCCGACAGUAGCUGGCUCUGGGCUGUGCGCAGCCCUGACACCUGGGGAGGUGGCAGAAGCCAGGAUGCAAAACAACAAAAAUCCAUUUUCAUUUUCCGUUGGCAUUUACUUCUGGAACGCCUCACACGGCAGCUUAGGAGCGUGUGGAACUCCAGCUGCCCUUGUCUCCUGCUGCCCAUGAUUCCCUCUAUAUCCCCAAGAGGGAGUCCAGAAACGUGUGCUGAGCUAACCUCCGGACCCGGGUGCCUUAGGUUAGAAUCCAGCUCUGAACCAGCCAGGCAUCCUUGGGCAAUUCUCCUACCCCGUCUCCACGUGAGUUUCCUCCAGAAUAAACUGGGUUAUAGGGGGCGUGUCUGAAGCCCAGCGCAUUCUGAGCCUCCCUCAGUGGAUGUCAGGCACUGUGAUACGGACAUCAGGUGGGAGAUGCUGGCCAUUAACCCGAGAGCCAGUUAAAUUUCUUCCCAUCAAGGAGCUUAGACACAGGUUCUAAGUCUGAUGAAAACGGCAAGGCUCCAGUUCAAUGAUGACAACUGGAGACGUCCAGAACUUCCACUGAUGCACAGAACAGCUGGGCAGAGAAUCAACAAGGAAAGCAAGCUCUGAACAGCACGCUCAGCCAGUUGGACCCAGCGCACGUCUGCAGAACUCUCCAGCCGACACAGAUACACAGUCUUCUCAAGGGCAUGUGGAAUGUCCUCCAGGACAGGCCAUAUGUUAGGCCACAUAAUAAGUUUCAAUAAAUUUAAAAGGAUCGCAAUCAUACAAGAUAGGUUCUACAACCAUAAUAGAAUUAAAUUAGAAAACAGGAACAGAAGGAAAUUUGAGAAAUUCACAAACGUGGAAAUUAAACAACAUGGUCCUAUUGAAUCAACGGAUCAGACAAGACGUCACAAAGGAAACUAGAAAAUACUUUGAGAUGAAAGACUUUACAAAAAACUGAAGAGCAAUAUCCCCUUGAGCAUACGGAAGCAAAAUUAAUUAAUUGUGAUGAACGGGCCAUAACGUAAGAUGCUCGUAACAGGGAAACUGGGGGUGAAGUACAUGGGAGCUCUGUGCUACCGUCACGAUUUUCUGUAAAUCUAAAACUAUUCAAAAUUAAAAUCUUAUUAAACAGCUUUUUAAAAAUAAAGGCAGGGCUCCAUGAAUGUCUAUAAACCUCAUGAAAAUGCAUUCAUUAACCAUCAGAGGAAAGCACCCCACAAGCUCAUACACACACACGUGCACACACACGCAUACACAUGUGCAUAAACACACACACACACACACCC